UUUUUAUCUCUCUCUACUCAUUUUUAACUCUUACAGUCUCUCUCUCUCUCUCUCUCUCUGACCAAGAGCUAAGGGAAAUCUUGUCGUUUUCCCUCUGGUGAGGGAGAACGAAGGAGACCCUGUCGUUUUCCCCUCAACUCUAUCUAUCCCUCUACUCUGACCAAGAAUGAGAGCUAAGGAAACCCUGUUGUUUUGCCCUCAAUUUUGUAUCUCCUUCUACUCUAACCGAGAACGAGAGGUAAGGAAACCCUAUUGUUUUGCCCUCUGGUGAAGGAAAGCGAAGGAGACCCUGCUGUUUUCCCCUCAGACAGUAUGGAUUUCUGCUCCUAUAGUGCUCUUUUACCUUCCUUCUUCUACAAGAUGGAUUUGUGUACAUUCGGUGCUCAACCAUGUUACCUCGAAACUCUUCCACCCUACCCCGUUCUCUCUUCUCCUCCUACACUUCUUGUAGUUCAUACCAGCUGAGUUGAUAGUGUUGUCUGCUUCGUUAGAUUACCGGCGACCGUUUAGGAGAUUGCAUCGAUAAGCAAUCAAUCUCCGUUUUUCCCUCAACUCUAUAUAUCCUUCUACUCUAACCGAGAAGGAGAGGUAAGGAAACCCUAUUAUUUUGCCCUCCGGUUAAGGAGAGCGAAAGAGACCCUACUGUUUUCCCCUCGGACAGUAUGUACUUUUGCUCCUAUAGGCUCUUUUCUCUUGUCCGAUCUUUGCAACCCUCUUUUGCCCCCUACCUCUUCUUCUCGGUCCCAAAGUCCCAAACCCUACCUUCCUUCUUCUACAAGAUGGAUUUGUCUUCAUUCGGUGCUCAACCGUGUUACCCCGAAACUCUAUCACCCUACCCCCUUCUCUCUUCUUCUCCUACACUUCUUGUAGUUCAUACCAGCUGAGCUGAUAGUGUUGUCUGCUUUGUCGAAUUACCGGCGACCGUUUAGGAGAUUACAUCGAUGCACAAAGUUGAACAUGAACAUCAUAUAUUACUUAAAUUUAGUCAUAAGCCCUCUAUGUAUUUGUGAACAAGCAACAUUUUUAGCCUUCUUUUUUGUUAAUUUAAAAUCUUUUUUCUUACUAUUUGCUCAGUCUUUUUUCUUUUUUAUUUAAAGUAGUUAGGUUUUAAUUUCUAAUUCAUCAUUUUUCCAUUUCUUGAACUCAAUGUAUAGAGAAUUUACUUGGAGGAAACAAGUGAAACUCAAAGUAUUGACAAAUUUAUGCUACAUCACAUUUGAAGAUUGUAUUGGUACAAGUUUUAUUUCCUACCUUCCAGUUUAUUCAAUAAAAGUCAGGAAUUGCAAUUA